UAAUACGUAGGGUGCGAGCGUUAUCCGGAAUUAUUGGGCGUAAAGAGCUCGUAGGCGGUUUGUCGCGUCUGCUGUGAAAACUGGGGGCUCAACCCCCAGCCUGCAGUGGGUACGGGCAGACUAGAGUGCGGUAGGGGAGAUUGGAAUUCCUGGUGUAGCGGUGGAAUGCGCAGAUAUCAGGAGGAACACCGAUGGCGAAGGCAGAUCUCUGGGCCGUAACUGACGCUGAGGAGCGAAAGCGUGGGGAGCAAACAG
rnacentral:rRNA from 1 species